UACAGAGGGGGCAAGCGUUGUUCGGAAUUACUGGGCGUAAAGGGCGCGUAGGCGGCCGCCUAAGUCAGACGUGAAAUCCCUCGGCUCAACCGGGGAACUGCGUCUGAUACUGGGAGGCUAGAGUGCGGGAGAGGGAUGCGGAAUUCCAGGUGUAGCGGUGAAAUGCGUAGAUAUCUGGAGGAACACCGGUGGCGAAGGCGGCAUCCUGGACCGACACUGACGCUGAGGCGCGAAAGCUAGGGUAGCAAACGGG
rnacentral:rRNA from 1 species